GGAGGUUGGCAAUGGACAGGAUCCUCGCCAACCCGGUCAGGUCCGGAAGGAAGCAGCCGUAACGAGUGUUUCUUGGGUCAUUAGUCCAGCCUCCCAC
rnacentral:SRP_RNA from 2 species